GCUUAGACCUAGCAAAGUCUGGAUGUACGGUGUUAAAAUGUUUCCAAUAUUUCCCGUCAGACGGGUGAGUCAUUUUGCCAUCUGUUUGUGAAUGUUCUGCAUGCCAUCUCAUCGACGCAGCUGUCCGUUCAGAUUGAUAUAGUCUUUUUAACCUAUCAGUGAUAGGAAGAUACCACAUUCGUUGGUAAGGAAUCUUUUUACGCCCAACAAUUUGCGGUCUAUAUCUUGGCUUUUGGCAGAAACGACAUUCUUCAAGCUUCUCAUCAUCUCUCCAAAAAAGC
rnacentral:lncRNA from 1 species